rnacentral:lncRNA from 1 species
UGUCACUCACAAACAACCCUUUGGUCUUGAAGUCGAAGAGAUACAAGUCCCAAAAGGGUUUAGGGUUUUGCUCAAAAAUGGCAUAUCAUUGGCCAAGCCUGGCUUAUGCCUUAGCUAUAUGCUUGAUAGCCACCAAUGUAGCAGCUAGUUAUGACAAGCCUUAUGUUUCUUCAUCUCCACCAGUACCUGCAUCUUCAUACCUACCACCCUAUUUCUACAAGUCAUCCGCACCGCCACAUUAUCCUCAAGAAACACUAUCUUACUACUACAAAUCACCACCUCAUCCAUAACGAUCAUCUCCACUUCCCUAUAUUUA